CUAAAAGAUGGCUUCUCGCUAUCACUUCUGGAUGGACCUGCGGUGCAUUAGCUUGUUGGUGGGGUAACGGCCUACCAAGGCGAUGAUGCAUAGCCGAGUUGAGAGACUGAUCGGCCACAAUGGGACUGAGACACGGCCCAUACUCCUACGGGAGGCAGCAGUAGGGAAUCUUCCACAAUGGGCGCAAGCCUGAUGGAGCAACACCGCGUGAGUGAAGAAGGGUUUCGGCUCGUAAAGCUCUGUUGUUAAAGAAGAACACGUAUGAGAGUAACUGUUCAUACGUUGACGGUAUUUAACCAGAAAGUCACGGCUAACUACGUGCCAGCAGCCGCGGUAAUACGUAGGUGGCAAGCGUUAUCCGGAUUUAUUGGGCGUAAAGAGAGUGCAGGCGGUUUUCUAAGUCUGAUGUGAAAGCCUUCGGCUUAACCGGAGAAGUGCAUCGGAAACUGGAUAACUUGAGUGCAGAAGAGGGUAGUGGAACUCCAUGUGUAGCGGUGGAAUGCGUAGAUAUAUGGAAGAACACCAGUGGCGAAGGCGGCUACCUGGUCUGCAACUGACGCUGAGACUCGAAAGCAUGGGUAGCGAACAGGAUUAGA
rnacentral:rRNA from 1 species